UCUACCUUUCACCUGUUAGCCUC
rnacentral:siRNA from 1 species